AUCCUUUUGUAGUUCAUAAGCGUGAUGAUUGGGUUCUCAUGUGCAUGCGUGCGAUGUGCCUCCCACGAAUCUUGUUAUGACGUUGGUGACAGCAGCACAUUACCCAUCUGACG
rnacentral:snoRNA from 1 species